rnacentral:lncRNA from 1 species
AGGUGAAAUGGAGAAAGCAAUAGCUGCAGCUGCUGUCCCAUGGCUUUCAAGAGGAUGCUGCCUCCAGGAGAGCUGGCUUGGAUCGUACGGGGAAAUAUAGUAACUCGAAGGUGCCUGAUAACAAAAGGGAAAGAGUAUCACAGCCCAGUGGAAGCAGCAGUGUUGUACUCUCUUCAAAAAAUGAAGACAGGAAAAAGCAGUGCAAGAAGAGAGCAUUCACCUCUCAAGUGGCUGGAUUCCAGGGAAAAAAAAAAAGGGAAAAUUCGGGAGCAGUUUUGCCUGGCUGCUUGCAGACAAGAAGCCCCACUGGCCUCCUGCCUGCUCCUGGGCUGCCAGCGGAAGCUUUGCCAUGGACUUGGCAGCGCUGUGCCCAAAUGCUGCCCGGCUUUGUGCUGUGCUUCCCGGUGGGGCCGAGAACACGGGCUGGAGGAACUCUGCAUGGGAAAGCAGCCGCGUGUGAGCCGCCUGCUAAGCACCUCGAGGCUGCCUCUGGACCUCGCUGGAGGUUGCCUUAGCAUAAAUCAGCCUGGUCUUGCUGCCUCUGGGUUUGCCACCUUUAUGAGGACGAGUGCUGUCAUUGUCAAUGCUGGAUUUCAUGACUUUUUCAACGUUAGGAAAAAUGAGGAGUUAGUAGAACAGCUUAGCGACAGCCCAAAAGGACGGAAGUGGUCAAGUCAGCAUUUUAUUCCUUCAUAUAAACUCAGCCUUGCUCUAAGCAAAUUCCUUGGUCGCCAUGAAGCAACCCAGCGUCUCAUCCUGGACAUCUUGAUGACCACACUUGAAACAAUGGUAAUUUUGGCAGCUGAUUUUUGACAUUGAGGAUUCAUCUGGAAGUACGCUGAGCCAAUAAACCUACUGGGGUCCAGAGGAGCA